GACACGGGGGACACGGGGGAACACGGGGCCAGCGAACACGCGCGGUGCUGAAGGGACAGCGCCGGGGGCAGCGGGGGCGCGGGGACAGCGGGCACGGAGCGACACGCGCGGUGCUGAACGGACAGCGAGCGGCGGUGGCACCGCGCGGCGCGGCCACCCCGGACCCAGCUGUCCCCCGAUCCCCACCGGUGUCCCCCGAUCCCCACCGUCCCUCCCAGCUCCCCCCGUCCCCUCCAUCCUGUCCAGUCCUUCCACUGUCCCCAAUCCUCCCACAAUGUCCCCA